rnacentral:lncRNA from 1 species
AUAGACAUGAUAAUCCUUAUAAGACAGAUAGUAAUUAACUAGAUGGAAUAAAGGAAAGUGAAGUUUCAGACAAAAGAGUCAAUAUUUAUAGAAUUGUUAGGUAUAUAUUUUAGAGGAAACAUUUUCAAGUGCUAUUGAGGAUAAAUCUGGAGGAAGUUAGAUUAGUGUGGAGCUAAUGCAGUAGUCGAGGCAGAAAAUGAUGAGGGAUUAAACUAACACGCUGCCCAGAAAUCAAGGAACUGACUUGAGAGCUAGCAUAACAUUGGAAUUAAUAGGAGAGUGUUACUACCCGGAAGAGUGAAGGAUGCAGUGCAGUCUUGGGUAGCAUAGAUGCUUUAGUUCGGAGUUAUUAGAUGGACAACCAUGCCAUUCCCUGAGAUAUCCAACAGGAAGAAGAUAGGCUUGGGUGGAAGAUGAUGAGUUUUAGAUCUAUUGAGUAUGUACUAUUUGUGGAAGAUACGUGUGAAGAGGAUGAUGAGGCAGUGACAUACUCAUUUUUCUCCUCUGGCCUUUGUGGAGCAGUUGCGGAGAUUGAGGAACCACCCUCUGAAAGCUGCUGGUGGGAUUUGUUGAAUGAGGAAGUAGGAGGAUGGGUGACAUCAUUGUUACCUGAGACACUGAGAUGGCUAUACAGCUCCUUGUGAAUGAAGAAACAGGGAACCAGGAAAUAAGGUAGCUGCAAGAGAAACAAUGAUCUGCAUGUGAAUGGAAGGAAAGAGAGAAUAAGAAGGAAAAAAGACAUUAUGAGUCACUGAAUAUUCAGCCCUAAAAAACCAAGAGCAUUAUCCCAUGUUUCCAUUUAUAUAAAAUUCUGGAAAAUACAGCUGUAAACUGCAGUGAUAGAAAACAGGUGAGUUAUUUCCUGGGGCUGGAAACAGGGAAUGAUGACUGCCUUGGGCUGGACACAGAGGGAUGGACACAAGAAAAACUGGAAAUGGUUUAUAUUUUAAGUGUUGGUAAAACACUGCAUGUAAUUUGUAAAGCUCAU